CAAACUUCAUUUCCACUGCUUUUGAAACUCUCUCAUAUCACAGGAACAUGGCAAAGAAACCUGUCAAGUACUAGUGGUACAGGUGGACGCGUUCACUGACUCAGCUUUCAAGCAGCAGUGUGUUUUUUAGAAGAACAGAGAGAUGAGCAAUGGUUGCAAGCUGUGGCCGCUGAGUUCAACACCCCAAUGACUUGUUACUUGACUCGGUCAACUGGGUCCGACUCUCUUGGCUCGCCCAAUCCUAGGUUCCGUAUCAGAUAUUUCACUCCAUUCGCUGAGAUUGAGCCUCAAACUCGGAUCGAAGAUCGGUCUUCCUUGCCUCGACGUGCUGCCUGACGGCGCCGCCCCUCAGCCUCAAGCCUCCUUGCUCCCUCAACCUCAAAGUUGUACUCCCAUCAGGAGAAAGUAUGGUUAAAAUACAGCCAGUGUCUGAUACUAUACGUAAAUGUCCUGGAAUGGAGAUAAUAGUUUCAGGGGUUGCUCCCUCAGGGUCUGGGUUUGAUUUUUACAGUCGGUUCUUUUGCCCAAAACUUGGGAUCAAUGAGGUAAACUAUGUCAGCCUUUGGUCUCAGCAUAUUGCUAUGUUUGUGAAGUGCAUGAUGUUAUAGCUAAAUAUCUAUUGCAUCUCUUUACUGUGCUAAUAAUAUAUUUUAUAAUUUUGUUAGCAUGAUCUCUUGAGAUAUAUAAUUCAACAAGUUGUGGAAGGGACUUUUGUAAGGUCAAUAAUGUUUAAUGUAAUAAUUAUUGCUUGAAGUUGAAGAAUGGAAUUAUGAUGCUAAUGCCAUAAACAAAAAAGAGAUGUUAUUUAACCUCAUUUUAUCCUUACUCUUUCCGGCUCCUGUUUGUGGAAAUGCAUAUUAUGCCUUGGCACCAUACUGGAGCAAGAAACUGGGGAAGUGUGAUUUUGUUGCGUAUCAGGCAUCAUCUAGAAGUGGAGUGCUAAACAUUCAUCUAGACGAACAAAACGAGAGAGUACUACUGCGAGGAAAAGCUGUCACUGUCAUGGAAGGGUCUCUUUUAGUUUAAACAUUUUUGAAUUAAAACACUAUAUUGCAUAUGUUUUACAAUUGAAAUAAAUGUCUAUAACUGUAUGGAAGAAUCCCCUGGAGCUGGAGUUGAAAUUUCAGAUUGUAUAGCUUUUUUGCUGAAAAGAUUGUAUAACUGAUUUAAGUUCUUGUUUGUAUGUAUAUAUAUUACAAGGAAGAAGCCUAAAUAGCUAGAGAGUGUGCGGUAAGAUUUACAUGCCUUAGAACAACCUCGUUUUUUCCCAACUGUCAGAGAACUAGGUGGCUACCAUUGAUAUUCUCAUCAUUAUUUUAACAACUUGUAAAGAUGAUAAGUUAUGAUUAUAUUAAAUUAAUAUCUA